ACUUCUUUAAGGAUUUCUUCGGAAUGAAUUUGAUUAAGUUUAGUGGCGGACGGGUGAGUAACGCGUGAGUAACCUGCCUCUAAGAGGGGAAUAACAUUCUGAAAAGAAUGCUAAUACCGCAUAACAUAUAUUUAUCGCAUGGUAGAUAUAUCAAAGAUUUAUCGCUUAGAGAUGGACUCGCGUCCGAUUAGUUAGUUGGUGAGGUAACGGCUCACCAAGACCGCGAUCGGUAGCCGGACUGAGAGGUUGAACGGCCACAUUGGGACUGAGACACGGCCCAGACUCCUACGGGAGGCAGCAGUGGGGGAUAUUGCGCAAUGGGGGAAACCCUGACGCAGCAACGCCGCGUGAAGGAUGAAGGUCUUCGGAUUGUAAACUUCUUUUAUUAAGGACGAAGAAAGUGACGGUACUUAAUGAAUAAGCUCCGGCUAACUACGUGCCAGCAGCCGCGGUAAUACGUAGGGAGCAAGCGUUGUCCGGAUUUACUGGGUGUAAAGGGUGCGUAGGCGGCUUUGCAAGUCAGAUGUGAAAUCUAUGGGCUCAACCCAUAGCCUGCAUUUGAAACUGCAGAGCUUGAGUGAAGUAGAGGCAGGCGGAAUUCCCCGUGUAGCGGUGAAAUGCGUAGAGAUGGGGAGGAACACCAGUGGCGAA
rnacentral:rRNA from 1 species